AGCAUGGCACCCCCAGCCAUGGCACGAAACUCCCCACAGGCCAGACCCACGCUGGCUAUGGCGGCUGGGCCCAGUGCUGUCUGCCUGCCAGCUCCCGUCCCCUCCCCGGCCUCUCCCUCGCCGCCCCCCCGCCGGCCUCCCCGCCUUCCCCGCUCCCCCCUCCGCGGCCUCUUCCUGCCUUGGGCCUCUGCUGCCGCCACCACCGCGAUCUUCUGGGGCUCAGGUGGAGCGCUCCCCGACGCCGUAGGCCUCGGCUGUAGGCUCAGCCCUUCUGCCCAUAGGACCGGAGCCGGUCCCGUCCCCGCCGGGAGGCAGGCGGCACUGGGGGGGCCCGGCCCUGCAGGGGGGGGCAUGGAAGUGUAGGCCCCAGCCCUGUGUUUGGGGCACGGAGGCGUAGGCCCCAGCCCUGUGGGGAGUGCGGAGGUGUAGGCCUCAGCCCCACGCGCGGUGGUGGCAGUGUGGCGUCGCCAUGGCAACCGCAGGCUUCAGGCCUUGCAGUAGGCCGCGCUCGGCCUCGGAGCCCCCUGGAGUGUGGGGAUUUGGGGGGGAAGAGGAGCAGGAGGAGCACCCGAGCAAGGAGGAGAAGCAGGAGCCAGGGACGCCCAUGAGGAAGGCCGGGCGGCCCGGGCGGAAGCGCAAACACGCCCAGGUGAGCAGUGGGGCCCAGGGGGACGGCCAUCCCCAAAGUCCCCUUUUCGUGGCUCUCCCAAGCUGGAACCGCAGCCCACUGCCACCCAAAGUGGGGGUAUCCCUGCUCUGCUGCUCACAGGUGGUGGAAAUGGUUCCCCCAAGGAGCAGCCCCGGUGCUGCUGGCACAGGGCAUGAUGUAGGAAAGCACAAACCCCGGUGUGGCACUAGCUUUGGGGAUGUGGUAUUUGACUUUGGGCACUGUUUCUGGCAAAGCUUUCAGUGGUGGUGGAUUCAUCCUCCUGGCAUGGGGACACAUGGUGACAGUGGGGACAGUGCUGAGCAGGAGGGGACCCCCAGCAGCACUGGCCAUUGCCAAGGUUGGGCACAUGGCCACGGUCGGGCACGUUGGCACCAUCUUCUCCAUGGGACACCAGAAACCUUUUUGCAAAAGUUUGUGGCUGCAAUAAGCAUUGGCGCCGUCUGCUCCGUGGGACACCAAGCAACCUUUUUGCAGAAGUUUACAGCUGAAAUAAGGGUUAACUCUGCAAAAGUCUGUGGCUGCAGUAAGGGUUAAUUCUGCACUUGGACAUGUCUCGGUGGGACGGGGACGCUGUGGCAGUGGCAUUGUGUGAUGGGAUGGCAUUGGGACAAGGGGACACUGGUGAUGAGGGGAGCAGCCGUGGAGCACAGUGGGGCUAUAAAUACAGCGGGAUGGGAGGUGAGCGCAGAGGGCGGGAGCUGUUUCGAUGAGAGAACAAUGCUGGCACAGGAACAAGUGGGGAGAAGUUAUCCAGGAACGGAGCAAGCUGGGAAGCCUGGAGGGCUCUGACCCUCUGAGGGGCAGCUCUGGGGUCCCUGCACUGGGGCUGGAAUGCAGUGGUGGCAGUGGUGGCACCUCCUGGUGCUGGAGGGGGCACAGAGAAGUGUGACCCCCAUCCUUCCUAGGCACCAUGUACCUUGCUCACCCUGUGCCACCAGGUGCAGGAGGGACAGGACCCAGGUGGAGAGGAGGACACGUGGCAUGGGGACACCAGGAGUGUGCCACCAAGGGCUCGUGCUGCAGAGGUGGCAGCUCUGUCCUCUCAGCGUGGGGACACGUGAAGGUGUUGGGGACCCGUGGGGCAAGGAACUUUUCUCCAGCCCCAGGGUUUGGAGGGGAUGUGGGCGCAGAGAUGGGGACCCCCAGCUGGGGAGGGGGCGGGCAGCCCUCCGGCGCGGCUGUAACAGGACCAUUUGUUUUUCCAGGUGUUCCAAGGUAUGUAUCCCGAGGGGUGACGUCAGCCAGGUGAGCAGGGCCUGGGGCGGGGCGGCUCUGCCCCCGCACCUGGGGACCCUGUGGGGACGAGGAGCUGCAGGGUGUUGGUGGCAGCACCGUGCCACGCUGUGCUGAGCCGUGCCGUGCCAAGUGACCUCGAGCCAUGCCAUGCCGAGCUGUGCCAUGCCAUGGCCCUGAGACCAGUACCCGCAGGGCCACCAAGUCACCACGAGCCGUGCCGUGCCAUGCCAAGUCACCUUAAGCCGUGCUGUGCCACGCCAAGCUGUGCCAUGCUGUGGCCCUGAGGCCACCCCCAGCCAGUGACCUCGCAGUUGGUGCCAUGCACGGCGGUGAUUCUCCCCUAUGACGCUUCACCACAAUGGAGCAGGCAGGAGGCCAGCACCAUCCUGGUCGUGGUGCACCCUGGUCCCCCUGCGGGCACACAGCUGUGGAGCAGAGUCCUUGGCGGGGGCCCUGCGGGGAGGGGAGUGCGGAAAAAGGCAGCGCUUGUUCCCAGAGCCGGCAGUGCAGAGGAAGAGGGUGGGUGGGAAGGAAGGCAGCAGCAGGCGAGCCAGGCCUUCCCCUGGGACAGGGAUGGGCUCCAGGGUGGAUUCACGGCCCCUUCCCUGUUGGUGUGCAAGGGAUGGAUAUGCGAGGGACAGAUGUCGCGCAACGGAGGCCACCCUGCGAGACAGCCCGGCGUGCAACAGAGAGCCGCUGUGGAAGGGAGGUUGUCGUGGGAGGGAGGUUGUCGUGUAAAGAAGGCCGUCGUGCAAAGGAAGGCAGUUGUGUAAGGGAGGACAUCAUGCAAGGCAAGGCAGCCCAGCAUGCAGCAGAGAGCUGUGCAAGGGAGGUUGUCACGCAAGGAAGGUCGUCAUGCAGGGGACGCCAUUCUGCAGGGGACAGAUGUCAUGCAGGGCAGUCCAGCGUGCAGCAGAGAGCUGUUGUGCAAGAGAAGUUGUCGUGCAAGGCAGGCCAUCGUGGACUCAGUGCGUGUCCCACACCCACCCCAGUUUCCUGGCAUUGUCCACCCGCCCCACGCAGCCCGCGGAGCCCCGGCCCGUGCCCUGCCGUGUCGGGGGAGGUUGGCGCACGGUGACGCCGCUUUCCUGCACCGGGGCAGGCCGGGAGGUAGCCUCCAGGUUUCCCCCAGCACUGUGGGCACGGGGAGAGGCCACCGGGGUGGUGGCAGCGCGCAUGUCCCCGGUGCGCGCAUCCACAGCGUGACACCGUCCCCAGGAGAGCGGGGGGCGCGGGGCUGCGCGCCGCCAGCGGGACGGCGUUGGGUGCAGACGAGGGUGGCGUCGGGCGCCUACGGGAUGGAGCUGGGGCUCGGUGCUCCACGUCCCCGUGCCACGGUUGGGUUGGCACCGCCGGACCC
rnacentral:lncRNA from 1 species